rnacentral:rRNA from 1 species
AACCGCAUGGUUCGAUAGUGAAAGAUGGCCCUGCUAUCACUUAUAGAUGGACCUGCGCCGUAUUAGCUAGUUGGUAAGGUAACGGCUUACCAAGGCAACGAUACGUAGCCGACCUGAGAGGGUGAUCGGCCACACUGGAACUGAGACACGGUCCAGACUCCUACGGGAGGCAGCAGUAGGGAAUCUUCCGCAAUGGGCGAAAGCCUGACGGAGCAACGCCGCGUGAGUGAUGAAGGUCUUCGGAUCGUAAAACUCUGUUAUUAGGGAAGAACAAACGUGUAAGUAACUGUGCACGUCUUGACGGUACCUAAUCAGAAAGCCACGGCUAACUACGUGC